rnacentral:tRNA from 4 species
GGCGCCGUACCCAAGUGGCUAAGGGGGCGGUCUGCAAAACCGCUAUUCGCCGGUUCGAUUCCGGCCGGCGCCUCCA